ACCCGUCCUCCCGCAUCUUCCGCCUGGCCGGGCUGGCGCCUAAGGCUCGCUUCUCUCCCACUGAGAGGAGACGCUGGAGGGAAGGCAGUCUGACCUUGCUGACGUCAGCCCAAUCUUGACUUCUAGGCUCUUUUCAUUCUGACUUUCGUUUCAUGUCAGAUCCCUACCUUGACACUCACUUAAGAGAAGAGUGAAGUUUCGGGGACUCCGCACCUUAAGGUAGUUCCACCGUGCGAGGUGCUGCAUUCGCAGUAUUACUCAUGCACCUUUCUGAUAAGAAAAGUGAAAAUGCGAAGUUGAAAACUGAAGAUGCCCAGCAACUUCCUGAAUCCAGCUCUCCAAGUCCUGCCCUAUGGGACAGACAACUCCCAAAGAGGAAUCGUUGGUGGAAGUCCCACGUUUCGUUGGCUUUGGAAGGGGGAACUGGUCAAGGCAGGGCUCAUUUCUGGACCCACACCCCAUAACCAACAUGGAAGCCUGGCUUUGGCCCUGGGUCAGGCUGGCUCCGCAGGGAAGGGUCCAGUCUCUCCCGUGAGAUAUCCCGACUUCCGGUCCUGCUUUCUCAACUAUAAAUGGAGGUCAGCCAUGCCCCUCGGUGGGCCUCAGUUUCUUCACCUGUACAGUGGGGAAAUCCACAGGACCUACGUCCCAGGAGGGCACUGAGGACCAAGGGAAUGAAUGCCUGUCCAGUGCUCACGAUGGUGACAAGCACCGCGUGGAAUAAAUCCGGAAUAAAUGCUUACUGGGUGAUGGAG
rnacentral:lncRNA from 1 species